rnacentral:rRNA from 1 species
GGAAUUUUCCGCAAUGGGCGAAAGCCUGACGGAGCAAUGCCGCGUGGAGGAAGACGGCCCGUGGGUUGUAAACUCCUUUUCUCAGAGAAGAAGCUCUGACGGUAUCUGAGGAAUAAGCAUCGGCUAACUCCGUGCCAGCAGCCGCGGUAAUACGGAGGAUGCAAGCGUUAUCCGGAAUCAUUGGGCGUAAAGCGUCUGUAGGUGGUUUUGUAAGUCCGCUGUAAAAGAGUACAGCUUAACUGUAUAUGGGCAGUGGAAACUACAAGACUGGAGUGUGGUAGGGGUAGAGGGAAUUCCCGGUGUAGCGGUGAAAUGCGUAGAUAUCGGGAAGAACACCAGUGGCGAAGGCGCUCUGCUGGGCCAUAACUGACGCUCAUGGACGAAAGCCAGGGGAGCGAAAGGGAUUAGAUACCCCUGUAGUC